UAUGUAGGGGGCAAGCGUUGUCCGGAAUUACUGGGCGUAAAGCGCGCGUAGGCGGCUUUGUAAGUCGGAUGUGAAAUCCCCGGGCUUAACCUGGGAACUGCAUUCGAGACUGCAUAGCUAGAGUAUGGGAGAGGGAAGUGGAAUUUCAGGUGUAGCGGUGAAAUGCGUAGAUAUCUGAAGGAACAUCAGUGGCGAAGGCGGCGACCUGGGUCGACACUGACGCUGAGGCGCGAAAGCGUGGGGAGCAAACAGG
rnacentral:rRNA from 1 species